GAAAAAGUAAGCAAAAUAUUCUCUUUCCUUAAUGAGUUUACUUUCCACUAAGAGAAGACCCACACAUAGGGGAGUGGUAACCAGAGAGGAAGUGCUUCAGACCAGCAAGUCAGAUAUCCUAGUAAAUGAGUGCUCUACUUUGAUGGAAAUAGUUUACAGCAUCUGGAGGAAGAAGGAACUGGGAAAUCACUCUGUCUAA
rnacentral:lncRNA from 1 species